rnacentral:rRNA from 1 species
CGGGAAGAGCUCAAAUUUAAAAUCUGGCGGUGUAUUCCGUCCGAGUUGUAGUCUAGAGAAGCAUCAUCCGUGCUGGACCAUGUACAAGUCUCUUGGAAUAGAGCGUCAUAGAGGGUGAGAA